rnacentral:rRNA from 1 species
AUUGAACGCUGACAGAAUGCUUUACACAUGCAAGUCAACUUGGUGGCGGACGCGUGAGUAUCGGUUACAGAACUUACCUCACAGCUAGGUACGACAUUUGUGAACGAAUGCUCAUACAUAAUCCUUUGAUAGAGCUGUGCGUCACAUUAUCUAGUGGGAGAGGUAACGGCGCACCAAGGCGAUGAUGGGUAGCCGGCCUGAGAGGGUGAUCGGCCACAAGGGGACUGGGAAAGCGCACGUACGCAGACGUGAGGAAGGAGUGGGGAAUAUUGGACAAUGGACCAAAGUCUGAUGCAGGAAUUCUGGGUGUAAGAGGAAGUUUUUAGGGAUGAAAAGUGGUUUCAGUUGGGAAGCGGUACCAAAAGAAGAAGUGCCGGCUAAAUACGUGCCAGCAGCCGCGGUAAUUC